UACGGAGGGUGCAAGCGUUAAUCGGAAUUACCGGGCGUAAAGCGCACGCAGGUGGCUGAGUCAGUCGAUUGUGAAAGCCCUGGGCUUAACCUGGGAAUUGCAGUCGAUACUACUCAGCUAGAGUAUGGGAGAGGGCAGUGGAAUUCCCGGUGUAGCGGUGAAAUGCGUAGAUAUCGGGAGGAACAUCAGUGGCGAAGGCGGCUGCCUGGCCCAAUACUGACACUCAGGUGCGACAGCGUGGGGAGCAAACAGG
rnacentral:rRNA from 1 species